AGCGAACGCUGGCGGCAGGCCUAACACAUGCAAGUCGAACGAACCUUUCGGGGUUAGUGGCGGACGGGUGAGUAACACGUGGGAACGUGCCUUUAGGUUCGGAAUAACUCAGGGAAACUUGUGCUAAUACCGAAUGUGCCCUUCGGGGGAAUGAUUAAUCGCCUUUAGAGCGGCCCGCGUCUGAUUAGCUAGUUGGUUGAGGUAAUGGCUCACCAAGGCGACGAUCAGUAGCUGGUCUGAGAGGAUGAUCAGCCACAUUGGGACUGAGACACGGCCCAAACUCCUACGGGAGGCAGCAGUGGGGAAUCUUGCGCAAUGGGCGAAAGCCUGACGCAGCCAUGCCGCGUGAAUGAUGAAGGUCUUAGGAUUGUAAAAUUCUUUCACCGGGGACGAUAAUGACGGUACCCGGAGAAGAAGCCCCGGCUAACUUCGUG
rnacentral:rRNA from 1 species